GACGAACCGAGCGAACGUUGUUCGGAAUCACUGGGCUUAAAGGGCGCGUAGGCGGGCUGCCAAGUUUGGGGUGAAAUCCUCCGGCUCAACCGGGGAAGUGCCUUGAAUACUGGCGGUCUGGAGGGAGGUAGGGGCGUGCGGAACUGUAGGUGGAGCGGUGAAAUGCGUAGAUAUCAAGAGGAACACCUGAGGUGAAGACGGGUUGCUGGGCCGACACUGACGCUGAGUGCGCGAAAGCCAGGGGAGCAAACGGG
rnacentral:rRNA from 1 species